rnacentral:lncRNA from 1 species
GACUCUGAUCCCUCCGUCAGGGGGAAAGACGAAUUCUCCCUUUCCAGCGCCUCCUGACGUCCUCCCUGCUGGCAGUCCUGGCCCUGGCUGUGGCCUCACCUCGAAGGGGACAGGAUGUGUUUCCAGCUGGGCCCCUUCUCCUCCACGUCUUGGCCGGACAGUCCUCUUCCCCACCGCAACCCUGUGGAGAGGAAUACUGCCUUUUAUCAUUUUGCCAGAGAAGGAAAGUGAGCUGGAGAUGCUGAUGGAGUUGCCAAGUUCACGCCCCAAGUCUCUGGCUGAGGUCAAUGCUGUGCCAUGUGUUUUAUGCAGGAGCGCCGUGGAUGGUGCGGAUACAAACGCCCUGUGGCUCUGCCAGACGAGGCUCCCCUUCUGUCAGGACCACGAUCCUCCGCGGGGACCUGGAGGUGGCCCAGGCAUGUAUCUCCGUCUCCCUCGUUACCGCGGGCCCCGUCCAGGACACUCCCGCCCCCGUCGUCGCUCCAAUGCCUCCGCUGCUCACCUGUGCUUCCGGUUUCAGGUUCAAGAACAGCGGGCGGCGGGUUUUCCAUGGUACUCCUAAUCGCCGGCGUUGAGCUGAUAGGGACCCAGGAUGGAACACAGCAGCCCAGGAAAUUCUCCCGAGCCCGAUUCCUGCCAGCUUCCCUAUUCUCUGGAAUGACUGCUCAUCCUGUGCUGGGGACUGUCUCCUUUGUCUUCUCCAGGCCGUGUUCCUUGCUCAAGAUGGACUGCUGGCUGGAAAAUGAGCAGAAGAUCUGAUGGCAGGGCUUGGGAAUAGGAACCCAAGUUCUGCCCAAAGCCUAAGGCAUCUAUCUGCACACACCCAGCUUCUCUGGGAAGCCAGCUACGUAUCAGCACAACGCUGAGGUGCCUGGGGCCACUGUGGACUCUCAGAUGCUGUCCUACAACUGGUCUCUCCAUCCUAAUCCCAGGGAAGACAGUUUAGGAGGUGACGCAAUACUGCUGUAGCAGCCCCUAGACAACUUGCCUUCUUCCAAAACCCUCCUGGGCCAAGCUUUCCCGUUCGCACGCUGAAAUAUUAGAUGUUCAGCUGGGAGUCCAACAGCAAAAUAUUUCUGAAAUUGUGCGUGCGUGUGUGUGUUUCUUUCUUUCUUUUUUUUUCUUCUAAUUUAAUGUGCCAGACAAGCCUCCCGGUAAUUAAAACCAGAAACAAGGACCAGACUUAGACAGAGAUUUGAAGGCUGUAAAAUUCUAGGACAGGUUUAUGUAAAGCAAUUAAAAAGGGAGUUAAAAAUUGUUAAAAAAUUAAACACUAAUUACUUUUUUUUCUCCUCUCAUUUCUGCUGAGCUGUUUUGGCCGCGGAGCUCGAAGAAAGAUAUAAAAAGGAGAAAGUUUUGCCUCGUUGCUGUAAAUCAUGUUCAGCAAAUGCGCCUCUGCAGUUUGCAGCCGAACCCAUCUGCUGUCAAUUAACCUAAAUCAUGCCUUUUCAAUUAAACUGGCCUAGGG